rnacentral:lncRNA from 1 species
UUUUUUUUUUUUUGGUCACGUGUCCAGCACAUAGUAGCUGUUCAAUCCGUACUUGCAGAAUAAACGAGUGAGGGACUGAAUGUGAAAACGCAUCAGGGCACCUCCACCUCUCCUCAGGUGACGUCUCCUCAGAACACACAUUAUUGAGGCUUCCAUUCUCUGCCUCCUCUUCCCCCAAGGACUUAAGGCUUUCUGUGGUCUGGCUCCUGCCUGCCAUUUGGCCUCAUUUCUUAGCAUUCUCCUCCUUGCUCACAGUCGUACAGUUUCCUUGGCCUUCGGGGGUCCUCAAACACACAAGCUCACUCAGAAACUUAAGGGCAGCAAUCACGGGGUCCUUGCAUCUCACUUUCUUGCAGGGCGGGUUCCUUACCUGAUGGUCUUUCUAAAAUAAAACCCGUGCUCCUUCUGGUUACUCUUACCACACCAUUCUGUUUGUUUCCCGCACAGCCCUUGCUAUCAUGAAAAGUACCUUUUUGCUUGGUUGCUCAUUGUUUGUUCUCUGUCUUGUCUCCUGGGAAGGUGCCACGUUGCAGUUUUUCUCCGCUUUGCUCUGUACUGUGGAAUUAUCUGUUGCCUGGAUGAAUACACGAAUUGGCAGAACAACUGGUACUCUGAACUUGUGAUAACAGGGGCCCAGCAAACUGGGCCUCAUGGAGGUUCAGGACCCGUUGAAAGAAGGAAGGAAGGAUGGGCCUGCUGGGGAGAGGGGCCGCCACAUGCCCAGUGGCCUCUGUUAACAAGGGCAAGUGUGGACGAACUCCUGGGGGCUGAGUCAUCUCUCUGGAGCUGUGCGGGAGGCAGAUGCCUCCAGGCUGGGCAGGGGAGAGGAGGCCCAGGAUUUUGUCUGGGAAGUUCAAGGCGGAGCACAGGCAGGAUUUGUUUUCACAGGGAGAUGUCAGCCCCACGCCCCCAUGUCAAAGGACUCUUAAUUACGCUGCCAAAACCAAGGCUCAGUGCUAACCUGUGACCCCAAAGGUGUUUAUAUUUCCCUCCAACACUCUCUUUUGAUCAUCCCCCUAGAGUCAAAUGUAUCGCAAGGCCUGAAGAUAAACUGUUAGUUUUAUGGGGUCGCUUUUACUCCCACCAGAAAAUAAAACGAAUGCACCUCGGUGUUUGGGGGAAGCCAUUUGCAUUUCCGUGCCUCCCUCCUGCUUUGCCCGCUACCUUCUGCACUGGCGGAGGCUCCUCUCACCACCUGCACAAGGCUGUCCUGCUCUUCGCUGCCUGCUUCUUAUCCGGGUUUUACCCAAACUGAAACAAAAGGAAACAAGAUGAGAUCUGCGUGCAGUCACCCUCACCACGGGCAGGGGAGAGAAGUGAACAGUGCUUUUCGAGUUAACAAACUUUCCGAAAUCUCUAGGAUGUGGCUCUCAAAAAAGGUCCUGGUGAAAAAUCUCCUCUUAACAUAGAUGAAAACCUGAUAUAACUGAGUGUGGAAUGGCAGGGGAUGGUACCACCCCCUGGUAUCAUCCAUGAUGAGGCCACGCUCUGCAGCCGCAACAGAGCAAAGUGUACUCACUGAUCUGGAAAGAGGUUGGUUUUCCGUCCAAAGGGAAGGGAGGUGGCAGAUGACUUAGUGACCAGGACUUAGCAGAUGCUGUGGGUGCCCUGUCCUCACCCCCUGGGCCUUCACCUUUCCUGGGUAUUGGAACCCAACAGCUCCCAGUGCCAGGACAUGCUAGUACUCC